rnacentral:lncRNA from 1 species
AUUUGCUAUUACUUGAAAUCUCCUUGAUACAUAAAUGUGUGGUGGAGAGGACUAUUCACAUGAAUUACGGUACUUUUCAUGGCUCAAUAUUGGUAAAAGGACCAUUCAACACGACUAAGUGAAAUGAAAGCUGGUGUAAUGUGAAACCAAUGUGAAACUCUGUACUUUGAAAACACUACGUAAUGGUUCUGGCAUCUAAGACCAGAAUAGAGGUCACAUGAGAGAAAGAGUUAAGAACUCUGUUCUAAUUGCUCACCAAAUAGACUAAGAAGUUUACAGUCACACUGGAUGAAGGAAAAGAUACAAGAAAGACCAACAGAAUUUAUCAACCAGUCAAUCAAUCACAAAUCUCAUAUAUAAUAACACAGGUAUCCCACUUACCAGGUAUGGUAUGUGUCUGAUCUGCAUGAUGCUUGGCAUCUUCACAGCAUUGGAAGACUCAGCAGGAUCAGGACUACAAACAUAAAUAUGCAAUACUUUAGCAUAGAUAAUAACCAUUGCUGCCAUAAGACAAAUAUUGUUGGGCAUUACUUUGCUAUAAAUAUGCACAUGGAAAUAUUAUGGAAUGAUAUGAUAAUAUUUUGAUUCAAAAGAAUGUAGAGGGUCACUGAAAAUGUCCUAAAGACUAAAUAAUCUUGGAUAUAUUAAUUUAUAAUAAUAUAUAUAUAUAUAUAUAUAAAAUUAUGAUAAAAAUAUGACACACAAUUAAUGAAACCUUGAAUGCCGAUUUGAGGAGAUGGCUGACCAUGGCCAGAAAGUGGAUUGCAAACGACUAGUGCUCGGCUAAUAAUGAAAUUAAUGCACUAGCACUUCAACUACAUUCAAGUAAGUACAAGUUACUUAUUCCUUUGCUUUUUAUUUUAUCCACCUACAAAAACUCAGCAACCAGUGUUUUCAAUUACUUUCCUUCACUUCAUUGAAAAUUGUAUUUCAAAUCAACAAUUACUGGAUUUAUUGGUUUUAAUAGACAUGUUAACUAUAACAAAGGAUUUGAGAAAAGUCCUAAGUACAUGUAUUCUGUCACAGUUCAAUAGCUACUGAAUGCUGCGUCAUUCCUUAAUCAUUGUACGGUCUGGUUUCUAUUUAUAGCCGACACCAUGCACUGAAAGAAAUGCCAUGAAUGGUAUGGACUGCUUUUAUAUGCCCCAGAGAGUCAAUCAUUUGAAACAUAACCUUUGUUUUGUUUACCAUCAGGAACCACAUAGAGAAAGAUGAACUAGAGCUAGAAUUUAUGCAUUCCAAUCUUCAAUAAUGAUUAAACAUUGACAGCAAGCAUGUCUUUGAAGGAGUAGUUUGAUGGAGAUAUCAGUCAUCAACAAUAGGAAGAAUUUACUGGCAUGCUUAAUUCAUGUUUUGACAACAUUAGGAAAAUGUAAAAAUGAGUUGAAUUUUUUUAACUAAGUAUUGAAUUAUCAGUCUAAACUUUCUAAUCUCAACCUUUUGAACUCUGUUUUGUGUUUAAUUACAUGCAAAGGAGCAAGACAGUCUUUAAAAACAGCACAAGACAGACAUCAAACUAAUUUAUAAAAACAGAAGUCUUGGUAUCAUCUUAUGUUAGUAAAAAUUAUGCUAUAAACAUUAGCACUACCAUUAACAUUGCAAAUAUAAUCUGAAUAUAUUAAACUAGUUUUAUUUAUUACACAAGACACCUAAUGAAUCUCUCUCCAUAACAGCCCUUUUCUUCCAAAUUCAAGAUUGACAAAAGCACUAAGAAAAUGGUUAAAAAAGAAAAGAGAAACAACAUAAAUUUGACUUGUAUUAUUGUUUUGUUCAAGUUGAUGAAGCAUGAUAGAGAGAGAAUUCAUUAUAGCUUGUGGGUUUACUAAGAAAUGCAUUUAUAUCCUGUUUGUUUUUAAUCUUCAGGAAAUAAAUGUCUUAAAACUAAGAGUGUUUUUAAAUAACUUUUAGCAAAGCUGAAGAUCAAAUAAAACCCUUUUUAACAAGGGAAAAUAAACAAAUAAUAUAAUAUUAAUAAAUUAGUUUUAUUGGAGGUUGAAUAUAAUGCCAAGGACAUAAGGUGAGCUGGAAAGUAUUAUAACCAAUACACAGAUUCACAACUGGCAUGUUGCAUAGCAUUUUUCCUCGUAAAUAUUUUUUCCUAAUAUCUAAAUUUGAAUGUUCAUGUAGCCACAAGACAUUCAUAAUUGAUGGAGUUAUAAAUAUCCAUUUCUGGUUCCCAAACUCCCAAACGGCUUUGUUAUGCAUGAGAAAAAAAUACUUACUCAGUUCCUGCUGUCAUGGGGCCAACAUUUGUUCAAGCACCCACUCUUUAAAAGGCUUUACUACAAAACCAUGCAGCUAACCACAGUCUAUGAAUCAUCUUUGUUGGCAUGUUCUCCACCAGAAAGGAGCUACUAGCCUUAGAAGAGAGGAUAUAGUGAUUCAUUGGUGAGGACACACUCUCAAACAACAAUCAUAGCAAAAAAAAACAUUUUAUUUAAACCAAAAACAAGACUUCUUUCAUAAGGCAUGUAUUUGCUUUUAGGUGGAUCAGUAAUAACAACCCAAGAAACUAAUAUAAUAAGUUCAUUUAAAAAUCUAUUUCAAAAAUAAAUAUUCAUGACAGAAUCAAUUAAGGAGAAUGAUUUAUCAUUGUGAAAUCACUUUCCAGUCUCACUGGUUUCUAUGGAAGCACAAUGUGAAAAAAUGAAUACUGACAAAAUUAAGACAUUUCAGUUCAAAUGCCAAGUAAUAAUGAAAGCACAAGAUGAAUACAAUAUUCAUUGGGUCCAAGUGUGAAGGGAACACCCUUGAAAUCUUUUCUUUGGCUGUAAUAUACAUCUUGUUGAUGUACAUCAUGCAAGGCCAUUAUAGAAGUGGAAUCGGAAAGACAUUCUAACGACGAUGGAUGGAAUCAUUAAACCUAAGACACCCUUCACAGUCGCCCACAACACAACAAACUCACAAGGCUUUUCAUUAAAACACACAACCUCAAAAACAACAGCAGUCAUUAAUAAAUUUAGGAAGACGACGACCAACAUGAAUAUCAAGAAAAUUAAAUAGGUGCUAGCUGAAAGUCAAGCAUUAAAUGAAGCGAAGCUUAAUUGAACAAUAUGGAAUGAAUCCUAAAACUAGAAAAACACAUAUUUGGCAAUAUAUCAGUAAUAUUACUGCUUCGAAAUAAAUAAAAAAUUGACCACAACAUGUGGCUUGCGACUCGAUUGUAAAUAACAUUCGAUCGAAAUCAACUAACAAAGAGUAGGAUACCAUUUCUAACAUCGAUCGUUGGCUCUUAAUUGAAAUGUACUACAUAUACUGGUGCAUAACUAAAAUACUUUUUUUUCAAGAACAUAA